UAAUUCGAUAUAUAAAAUCAUUAAGGGAUGGAAGUAAAACUGAACUUUUUCGUAGCAGAAAAACUGAGUACUCUCUAUAUAUUCUUUUAGAGGUGUUUCAGAGGAUGUAGCAAUGUAUCUGUUGUAAGCAUUUUGUAGGAGAGUCUAAAAUUUGAAGAACAAAAUUAAAUGGCAUUUCUGGGAUGUUAAUCUAGAGUAUGUUCCUGGAUUGUCUGUAAGAGGAAAAACUUUUCUAUUACGACUUUUUGAUAAAUUCUACUUGGCUUUUAUACUUUUCCAAAAUUCCGUUUUGUUUUAGAGAAACAUAUAAACAUCUGAAAGUUAA